GUAAAGAAUUUCUGGAUCAAAACACAGGCGAAGAAGAAGCAUAAACAAAUGAUAGAAGCAUUGCUUAUGUACAUGUAAAAUAAUGCGAUCAUCAAACAUUUAACAGCGUAUAAAUCAAAAUUCAAUGUUACUGAAUGAAAUGUCGAACCCAUGAAGAGGUAUAGGACUGUGAAGCUUUCGGUGUGUUGUUGGAAGCGAUCUACUUUACGUUUUGAUCAUUAUUCUGAAUCCGACCCAGAUGUUGUAUUUGAAAAAAAAACAUGAUUUUCUCAGUUUUUUGUUCAAAAUGUUUUUUUGUUUGUUUUUGUUUUUUAUGAAACGUACCCACAUUCAAGUGUUGAUCAAAUAAGAAUGCAUGAAUCAGAAUAAAAUGUUUUUUUGUUUGUUUUAUUUUGUUUAAAAGCGGAUACUCUGUUCUUUCUUUUCAUAUAGGCUUAUUGUUCGUUCAGAUAUUCAUGCAACAAAAUAUUCUGGGGGCCAUGAAAGUUGUGAAAAUGAUCAAAAAUGAUGACGCUGGCUGUCAAAUAAAAAAAUAAAAAAAAUAAAAAUGCUGGCUUGGAAAGAGUUAAAAAUUAUGAAGACACAUGAAUUUAAAAAAAGGAUAAACAAUUUAUAAGUACUGCAAUAGCCUAUUUCAUAAAAUAAAUAAAUAAAUAAAUAAGAUUUGUCAAUUUUGAUUUCUUGAAAAAUUUUUCCUGUAUUCAGUCCAGUCUUUUUUUUUUUUCUUUCUCUCGGACAAAAUCCAGAAAAGUUUACACAUGUCCUGCCUUACAAGAUGUCCAGUGUGUUUUUUUUCUGUUGUGUUGCAAGUCAGACACUCAAAACUGUGUUCCACACCAUCCACCUUCCAACCUUUACAAACAACGAGAGCAUGUCCACCCCAUCGCCAGCUUAACCUGACACGCGUCUGCGCUGUGUGUUUUUUUCCCCCGUCUGCUUUUUCUGGUUUGGUUUUGUUUUGUUUUAAUCAGAUGGAGGGUCUCUACUGACGAUGUCACGUCUGGGCUCACACAUGCACGCUCAGAAGGACAGUGGGCUGUCCGGUGUAGCAUCAUUAGCUCAGCGGAGACGUGGCGGCCCUGACACAUGUCGAGCGGCGUGCAGCCAACCCACGGACGAGCACGAGUCGCUCCUGCAUAAUUUGAAGAGUCAUUGAGAAUUCUUCCCGGCGUUCCCCAUGAUCUGAACGGAGCAUCGCUCAGUGCCGUGAUGGCCUUAUUCGCACUCAGAUAGAAGCCCUGCUGGCCUGACGGUCAUAUGAGGACCUCUGCGUGACCCCUGACCUCAGUUUGAACCAAGACCCUCGAGUUCAUCCACAUCUGCGGCUGUAGAGAAGGUCACAAGAGAGUUCAUGGCAACCUGCCUUUACUGUGACAUAACAAGCAGAAUGAGUUGAGUUUUGUCGCGCUCUCCACAGCUGCACGGCCGUCUACGCAGCGGGCUUCUCUCUCUCUCCCUCAUGUGCACUCAAAAGGUCAAGUAACGAGGGAGAAGAAGUGAAGGAGAAGUAACACGCAACAGCUGAGUGUGUGGGGAACGGGAGAUGAGUGACAGCAUGUUUGCCACUGCAUAAUGAGUGGUGCUCUUUCCGCACUCAGUAACUGCCUCCAUGCCCCCAGGUGCGCUCAGGCCCAGUGACGCUUCACCUUAACUCCAAUCAGACAGCACAUCGGAAGUUCUUCAGUGAGGUGUGGCCGUCCAGAGAUGCCACUUAGUGUUGGCAUCCCCCUGGGGACGCCUGGAUGUCUUUUUUUCAGUCAUUUGUACUGAGUAAAUGAGACGCGGAGCUGACAAUGUGUGAGUAUAUGUGCCCUGUUCUGACAAGAGGGUAAAUCGCCAAUGUCUACUGCUGCUCGCUUAAAACGUUGGAUACAUUAUUUUUGUCUUGAUUAAAUUAUGUUCGUCCUUGCUAAUCGGGUCUAUGAAACAUCAUUGUCUGCUAUAAACAUGCCUUGUCCCUUUAAUUCCCCUUUGGCUAUUUUUUUUUAAGUAAAGUUUAAGAUUAUUAUCUUG